CCUACGGGUGGCUGCAGUCGAGAAUCAUUCACAAUGGGGGAAACCCUGAUGGUGCGACGCCGCGUGGGGGAAUGAAGGUCUUCGGAUUGUAAAUCCCUGUCAUGUGGGAGCAAAUUAAAAAGUUAGUACCACAAGAGGAAGAGACGGCUAACUCUGUGCCAGCAGCCGCGGUAAUAGGGAGGUCGCAAGCGUUGGUCGGAUUCACUGGGUGUAAAGGGUGGGUAGGCUGUUUAGUAAGUCGUGUGUGAAAGGCGCGGGCUCAACCCGCGGACGGCACAUGAUACUGCGAGACUAGAGUGAUGGAGGGGGAACCGGAAUUCCUGGUGUAGCAGUGAAAUGCGUAGAUAUCGGGAGGAACACUCGUGGCGAAGGCGGGUUCCUGGACAUUAACUGACGCUGAGGCACGAAGGCCAGGGGAGCGAAAGGGAUUAGAUACCCGUGUAGUC
rnacentral:rRNA from 1 species